rnacentral:piRNA from 1 species
UAGAAAUGGAGCAUCCCAGGUUC